CGUAGGGUGCGAGCGUUAAUCGGAAUUACUGGGCGUAAAGCGUGCGCAGGCGGUUUUUGUAAGACAGAUGUGAAAUCCCCGGGCUCAACCUGGGACCUGCAUUUGUGACUGCAAGGCUAGAGUACGGUAGAGGGGGAUGGAAUUCCGCGUGUAGCAGUGAAAUGCGUAGAUAUGCGGAGGAACACCGAUGGCGAAGGCAAUCCCCUGGACCUGUACUGACGCUCAUGCACGAAAGCGUGGGGAGCAAACAGGAUUAGAUACCCUGGUAGUCCACGCCCCAAACGAUGUCAACUGGUUGUUGGGUCUUUACUGACUCAGUAACGAAGCUAACGCGUGAAGUUGACCGCCUGGGGAGUACGGCGCAAGGUUG
rnacentral:rRNA from 1 species